GUCGAACGGGACUAAGUAGCAUACUUAGUUCAGUUCCGCACGGGUGCGUAACGCGUAUGCAACCUACCUUAAACUGUCCGAUAGCCUUCCGAAAGGGAGAUUAAUACCGCAUAAUACUAUUUGAGGGCAUCUGAGGAUAGUUAAAGAUUUAUUGGUUUAAGAUGGGCAUGCGUGCCAUUAGCUAGUUGGUAGGGUAACGGCCUACCAAGGCGACGAUGGCUAGGGGUUCUGAGAGGAUGAUCCCCCACACUGGCACUGAGAUACGGGCCAGACUCCUACGGGAGGCAGCAGUAGGGAAUAUUGGGCAAUGGGCGAAAGCCUGACCCAGCCAUGCCGCGUGCAGGAAGAAGGCCUUCUUGGUUGUAAACUGCUUUUAUCUGGGAAGAAAAAGCCCCUGCGGGGGAAACUGACGGUACCAGAGGAAUAAGCACCGGCUAACUCCGUGCCAGCAGCCGCGGUAAUACGGAGGGUGCAAGCGUUGUCCGGAUUUAUUGGGUUUAAAGGGUGCGUAGGCGGCCCGGUAAGUCAGUGGUGAAACCUCCAGCUCAACUGGAGAACUGCCAUUGAUACUGCCGGGCUUGAGUACAGACGAGGUUGGCGGAAUUGAUAGUGUAGCGGUGAAAUGCAUAGAUACUAUCAAGAACUCCGAUUGCGUAGGCAGCUAACUAGGCUGUAACUGACGCUGAGGCACGAAAGCGUGGGGAGCGAACAGGAUUAGAUACCCUGGUAGUCCACGCUGUAAACGAUGAUGACUCGAUGUUGGCGAUAAACUGUCAGCGUCUAAGCGAAAGCGUUAAGUCAUCCACCUGGGGAGUACGCCUGCAAGGGUGAAACUCAAAGGAAUUGAGGGGGGCCCGCACAAGCGGUGGAGCAUGUGGUUUAAUUCGAUGAUACGCGAGGAACCUUACCUAGGCUAGAAUGCGCGUGACCGCCUCAAAGAUGAGGCUUUCCUUCGGGACACAAAGCAGGGUGCUGCAUGGCCGUCGUCAGCUCGUGCCGUGAGGUGUUGGGGUUAAGUCCCGCAACGAGCGCAACCCCUAUCUUUAGUUGCCAGCACAUGAUGGCUGGGGACUCUAAAGAGACUGCCUGCGCAAGCAGUGAGGAAGUGGGGAUGACCUCAGGUCAUCAUGGCCCUUACGCCUA
rnacentral:rRNA from 1 species